rnacentral:rRNA from 1 species
CAACGCGACCCCAGGUCAGGCGGGGCUACCCGCUGAGUUUAAGCA